ACUUAGCUGCUGAAGGAGGAGAGUCGCAUUCAGCCAGGGAUCACUGAGCAUUCAAAAGUCCAUCUGAGACCUGCUUUCAUUGCACUGCCUCGUGAGGAGCUGUAGGAGAAGACAUCAUAACUAUUCCCCACUUCUAAUUGUUAGAAGCAAUAGCUGUCUAUCAAGAACAAUCUGAGGAUUGUGCACAAAUUGAUUUGGUUCUAUCAAGUGCUGGCUUUCGAUUCCAGUCUGACUUCACUACCACAGGAGCUUCUUGCUCAGGCUUCUGUUCCGGCUCCAUUCUCUCCCUGCCAUUAUAAUGCCAUCCACUGCAGCACCAUCUCUUCAAUCAGAAAACAUUCAUGAUCUCAUUCGACCUGAAGCCGGUGCCUCUGUAAUGUGUAGCAGAAUCCUAUGGAGAAGUUGUAAAAACACAAAAUGUUGGCCCCACCCCAAGAGUUUCUGAUUUUGCAGGUCUGGAGAGGGCCUGUGAUACGUACUUCUAACAAGCUCCCAGGCGAUGCUAAUGUUGCUGGUCUAGAAACACACUUUGAGAGCCACUGUUUUAGCAUGUAUUCACCCAGCUUAUGCAAUCAGCUACUAUCACAGCAAAGUCCAAAGAAUGCUCCUUAUUUGUUUGUUAUACUGGAGUUUGGCUUGGCUAAAUAUUAUUUGAAACUGAAUGGCUGUUGAUUGUGGCUCAGAAACUGUUUUCUUCAUAGUGCUGCAA